GUCUUUUUGAAUUAAAUUUAAAGUCUAACCUGCCCACUGAAAAUUUUAAAUGGCCGCAGUAUUCUAACUGUGCAAAGGUAGCAUAAUCAUUAGUCUUUUAAUUGAAGGCUGGAAUGAAUGGUUGGACGAAAUAUUAACUGUUUCAUUUAAAUUUUUUGUAGAAUUUUAUUUUUUAGUCAAAAAGCUAAAAUAAAUUUAAAAGACGAGAAGACCCUAUAAAUCUUUAUAUUUUGUUUAUUUUAAUUAUAAAGAUUAUUUUUAUUAUAAUAAAUUAAAAUAUUUUAUUGGGGUGAUAUUAAAAUUUAAAAAACUUUUAAUUUUUAAAACCAUUAAUUUAUGAAUAAUUGAUCCAUUAAUAAUGAUUAAAAAUUUAAGUUACUUUAGGGAUAACAGCGUAAUUUUUUUGGAGAGUUCAUAUCGAUAAAAAAGAUUGCGACCUCGAUGUUGGAUUAAGAUAUAAUUUUGGGUGUAGCCGUUCAAAUUUUAAGUCUGUUCGACUUUUAAAUUCUU
rnacentral:rRNA from 1 species